GCCUACCCGUGGGCCUCUGCGGGUGCCCAGGAGAGCCCGGGGGUCACUGGGUGAGUCACCUGACAGCCCUGGGACUCUCUGCGGGCGGUUCGCCGGAAACGAACAGCUGAUGCUCGGCAGUUUGGCACGUCCCUUGCUAUGCAGAAAUAAGCCAAUGGAAUCCUUCCCCUAGGACACACCCGUGCUACCUGGCCAAUGGGACAGGCCCAUCUGUGACAUCAUAGAUGAUAAGCAGUUCCCGCUGGGCACCCAGACACACACUGAAUUCACCAUGCCCAGCCUGCUAUGGAUUUUCUGGCUUUGCCAUGGAACCUCUGCNGUGCGCCAAGCCGUGGUGGACGAGCAGGAGAAGGGCAGCGGGCAGACGGCUUGGGGAAACGUGGCGUUCAGCUCGGCUGCUUUUUUGAUCCUGCUGCUUGGGGUGAAAUGGUUCAGCAAAGGCCCUAGUUCAGAAGAGGAAGAAGAAACGAAGGAAGAAGUCCUGGGGAGCCAAGAGGAUCUCGAGAGCCGCCUUUUGCACGCCUUCUCGCAGAUGGAGUUGGAGCUCGUCAAACUCGUGACCCUUGUGCGGCGCCACAAGGCCAGACUCGCCGUGCGCCAUCGCCACUGCAGAGUGCCAGAAUGCCAGCUGGCCAGGGAGAGNGCCAAGACUUUCAACUUGGCGAUGUCACGGACUGCAACGCGCACCCGGUCUGCGCAACGUGCGCUCCUCGGCGGGGCUGCGCCGUCAUACCCAGCCUGGAGUCCCUGGGGCAAAUGGANCAGGAGUUGGUGACGCUGCUUUACAAGGUCCGCAAGCACAAGAUUGCCCUGGCGGCCGGGUGGCUUUCGGAGGAUCAGGCCGACGGAAUGGCGGAGGGCGCUCUCCCGAAUGACUUGGUCAUCUACACCAUCCAAGAAGAGACUUAGCUGUCCGCUGGCGCCCACCAAAGCCCUCGGAAUAAAGUUCUCCAAGAGCGAAUUUUGGGCCA
rnacentral:lncRNA from 1 species